rnacentral:lncRNA from 1 species
UCGCACACCGCCUAAUGCCUUGUUGUGUUGUGGGCCUCAGUGGUAGACUUGGGAAGACUUCCAAUCAAGGUUUACCACCUAGGAGCCUGUAACCUUCACCUCCCUCAGUCUCUUGAAUUCUCUUGAAUUUCCCUUUCUCUGCAAUGGCCUGGAGCCAGUCUUGGAGGAAUAGAUACCUGUGAGCCUUUUGACCUUGGCUCUGCCUAGCCAGGCUGUGGCAGGGAGGAGGGCUCAGUGGGUGGGAUCAGAGCGGUUAGAAUGCUUGAUCCUGGUUCUCUCUCUCUCUCUGCUAGGAGGUGGGCAGCAGUGGUGCUCAGUGAGUCUUUGCAGUGUCUCUGAGUAUUUCCUGCCUCCCUUUCCGCCCUAGGGGCUACUGGCUUCCCUUUCUUGCUAGGCCUUCCUUGCCUGUCUUGCCCGUUUCCUGAGUCCCCCAGCCUUGUUUCAGAGUCAUCAAUGGCUUUUUCAUUAAGACCUGGUGCAUGUAAGGCUUUCUACCAAGACCCUGACUCUCCACCCGCCACAGGGACUGAAGCCAUUGCUGAAUACUACAGAUGAUGGGAAGGUGGGGAAGGCAGGACCAGGUCCCUAGGAAGCUUGGCUGUGUGCACCAGUGGACAGGAGCCUCCAGAGCUUGGUGUUUUCCCAGUUCUGUCACUUAAUAACUCUCUCUGUAGUUAUGGGAAACUUAUUUCAGUGUCUUCGUUUCCCCCUCAUAAGAUGAUGAUGGUGAUGGUGAUGAUGAUGAUGAUGGUGGUAAUGAUGAGAUAAUGAUUAUGGUGGUGAUGGUGAUGAUAGCACAGGGCUGUAGAGUCAGUAUGAUUUUAAACGAGCAAAUUCAUGCAAAAUUUUAAAUUGGCACAGCAUGGGCCAUCAGGAAUAUUAGCUGUUACUUUUUAUUAUAGCACCAGAAUGAAUUAUGCUUUUUUUUUCCCACGCCACGGCAAAGGCCUACCCAGUAACCAACCUCCCUCCACUUUUAAAUAAUGUGGUCGUGAUAUAGUGUCUCCUGUGGGCAGAAGGCCCUGAAACCCUGACUGUUUUGGGGGAGGUCCAGACUGCCCAGCUCCUAACCUAGCCUGCACCUCUCCAAGGGUGUCAUCGAGGACAUGCCAAAUGAUUUCAGUUUGUUUGCAAAUGCUAGGCUAUUGUAGCCCAGGCCCUCUGAACCUUGGGGAUUGUAUGUUGAACUCACGAAGACGCCCCUUUUGCUGUGGUCAUUGAACUAGAGUUGGAAUGAGCCCCACAUCUAUAGUGAACUGGUUUAGGACAGCCAUGGGGAAGGAAGGCUCCAGGCUUGUGGAUAUUAGAAGAGUCUAGAUUUGGAGGGUCUCAUGUGACCAGCUUGAUUCUACUGAUGCCACACGCUACCCAUGUCCUCUCAAUGGGGCUACUUUUAAAAGAGCCGGCUGGGCUUGGUGAGACUUUUGAGAUGAGGCCUCCCCUUUCUUCUGAGGAUCUGUGGCUUUAAACUGAUACCAUGACAACCAUUGUUGCUGUUGUCCUGUAUCACCUGUUACUGUCAUCCACAUUACUACAAUCUCCUACUGCCAUCACCUCUGUCUUAGUUAGGGUUUGACUGCUGUGAACAGACACCAUGACCAAAGCAACUCUUAUAAGGACAACAUUUAAUUGGGGCUGGCUUCCAGGCUCAGAGGUUCAGUCCAUUAUCAUCAAGGUAGGAACAUGGCAGCAUCCAGGCAGGCAUGGUGCAGGAGGAGCUGAGGGUUCAUCAUCUUUAUCUGAAGGCUGCUAGCAGAGUAUUUACUUCCAGGUAGCUAGUUUGGGGGUUGUAAAGCCCAUGCCCACAGUGACACACCUACUCCAACAAGGUCACACCCACUCUAACUGGGCCACACCCACUCUAAUAAGGCCACACCCACACCAACAAGGCCACACAUUCCAAAUAGUGUCACUCCCUGAGUGGAGCAUAUACAAACCAUCACAACCUCUGUUACCACCAUCACCAUCAUCACAACCUUUACCACUGUCCCCAUCAUUACCACCUCCACCACUGCUACCACCCCACCAUCACCUCCACCCUCCUCACUGUGGCCUCUAUUACUAUGACCUCUAUUAAUGCUCCCUACAACUCUAGCAUUGCCCUCACCUCAACGUCCACAAUGGUCUCCAGCACCAUUAUCGUCAUCAUCACAACCUCUGCCACCGUCACCACCACCACUGUUACCACUGUACCACAUCCACCGUUCACCACUACCCCAUCACCAUUUCCAUCUCAGUGUCGGCAAACACAGUUCCUCCCACUUGGCCCUCAUCUUUCCAGGCCAGAAGUCCCUGACAGUCUUCUUUCUUGGUUUCUUUGCUCUGAGGCAAAGAAAAAGAGUCUUCCCUUCUCCCCAGGAUGGGAGCAGAGGGCAUGGUAAGCCGCAGAACUGGGACGCACAGCAGACCUGCCUGAAUCAAGCGGCUUUGGAUUUUCAUCCCUCUGCUCUCCUUCCACGCAAGUGUCACCCUGCGUGGUGUGGGCGUGGGCACUGGGGCGAGGGGAACCUCACAGUGGAAGUUCUCUGCUCCUGCUUCUGUGUCUCUCAGCAGGGAGAAGAAGGCUGACCUCCUGAGAUGGUUCUGAGAAGGCUGAAAAGAAGCACUCAAGGACUGAAUCCUGCCAACAACCAUGUUCAGUUGGAUGUGGAUAUCCUCCGAGCCUUCAGAAAAGACCCUAUCUCCUGAUCUGCGGCCUGUGAGAGACCCCGAGUCAGCUCCGGGUGGAACCGUGCCCAGACUUCAGAGACCAUCUGAGAAGAACGGUGCUUUCCGCUGCCAGGUUUGGUGGGUGAUUUGCCCCCCGGUGGUGGGUAAUGAACUCAGCACAUUAUGGAAAGUUCCAGUUUCCCACCGCACAUCUGCAGGAAGGUUCCAAUCAAGGCUGCAGAGAGGAUUGACAGAGCAGGUGCCUGCAGGUGUGUGAGGCACCCAGGAAGCCAGGGAGAGCAGCUUUGUUACUAAUUUACACCAUACUGGUGAUGAUGGCUGCUCUGGGCCUCAGCAUUUAGGACCCUGCCUGGGCUCGCCUUUAAUGUGCACACAUUCAUUCAGCUCACUCACUCUGCGUCCAGCGCUGCUGUCCCGGCUGCGUUCAGAAUACCAACAAGGUCACACAGAGUGCCUUGGUAAUAACGUCCCUUACCUUGGUAAGGAUCUUUA